UACGGGGGGGGCAAGCGUUGUUCGGAAUUACUGGGCGUAAAGGGCUCGUAGGCGGCCAACUAAGUCGGAUGUGAAAUCCCCAGGCUUAACCUGGGAACUGCAUCCGAUACUGGAUGGCUUGAAUCCGGGAGAGGGAUGCGGAAUUCCAGGUGUAGCGGUGAAAUGCGUAGAUAUCUGGAGGGACACCGGUGGCGAAGGCGGCAUCCUGGACCGGCAUUGACGCUGAGGAGCGAAAGCCAGGGGAGCAAACGGG
rnacentral:rRNA from 1 species